GAUGAACGCUAGCGGCAGGCUUAAUACAUGCCAGUCGUGGGGCAGCAGGACUGUAGCAAUGCAGUUGCUGGCGAACGGCAAACGGGUGCGGAACACGUACGCAACUUACCCUGAACUGGGGGAUAGCCAGGGGAAACCCGGAUUAAUACCCCGUAAUAUAAUGGAGUGGCAUCACUUUAUUAUUAAAGCUCCGGCGGUUCGGGCUGGGCGUGCGGCUGAUUAGGUAGUUGGUUGAGGUAACGGCUCACCAAGCCUACGAUCAGUAACUGGUGUGAGAGCACGACCAGUGAAACGGGCACUGGGACACGGGCCCGACUCCUACGGGAGGCAGCAGUAAGGAAUAUUGGGCAAUGGAGGCAACUCUGACGCAGCCAUGCCGCGUGGAGGAUGAAGGCCCGCUGGGUUGUAAACUUCUUUUAUAGGGGACGAAACCUGUGUAUUCUUACGCAGUUGACGGUACCCUAGGAAUAAGCACCGGCUAACUCCGUG
rnacentral:rRNA from 1 species